CACUGACAGUUUUGCAAUAGUGGGCCCUUGAGAGAGCUUGUGUUUCAUACAGCAUGUUACUGUGAAUGUAUGGAUGUGCUGCUCCUAUUUAACCAGCACUGACGCAUACAAAAAGACUGCGGAGCUGCUUGAUAAGCUCACUGAUGCAGAGUUUUUGGUGUGGAGCAUGCCCAAACCCAGACUGAUACAGUCCUCCCUCUCUUCUCGCUGCCUUGCCAGCAAUGCCCAGUACUUCAGAUGGUUGAAUAGAGUAUUGUAAGGAGUGCCAUGUGCUGUCUGUAGAGGCUGCUCAUCUGAGAUGUGGAAAAUGGAGACUACUGCCAUGUGUGGCAGUAAUGAGAAUUAUCUCACAGAUCUAUGUGAAGUUCUCUUCUUUAUUGUCAGAUUACUGUUUCUUUCAAUUUCUCCUUCUCGGUUUAUUUUGCCACAAUAACUGCAUUCUGGAUCAGAGGCAGACUGAGGCUGCAGUCCUUGCUGCAGUGCUGGUAAGGCAGAGAAAAAAGUGAGAAAAAUAUGUGGAUGAGGAGGAAGUCAGAAAUACAGACUCAAAGGAGCAGAGACAUAAGAUGCAGUAGUGAAUAUGCGACAGGCUUGUCAGGUCACUGUAAGCAUAAGUGCACUGUAAGUGUAAUUGGAGGACUUAAAAAGAAUUCUGUUCCUGCAGCUUAUGUUUGGUCCUCUUGAUUUUCUACCUACCUUGGAAACCACUGUGAGCUACCUAAAAACACUGGCUUGUCUUUGUUACAUAAAAUAUUGCCUGCUUGCAGCCAGAAACCUGAGACCGGAGUCUGCAAAUACGGAAUGCUCCUGAAUGACUUCUCUGGAAGUGUUUUUGGUUGCUGUGUUGCCUUCUCCAUGGCACAGCACUGCAAAUCCACUUCGCCUUUCAAAUACCUCAGGAAAUGAGGCAUGUCUAUGCAGGAGAGUAAAGACAUCGGAAAGCUCUCAACUGCCCAUGCUCCAAACUGCCUUGGAAGCAAGCCAGUUCCAGCAUAGAAGUCCUUUACCUUAACUCUGCGCCUCUACUAAUGGUCCCUGUGACAUUCCUCUGGUGAGUACAGCAUGCAGAAAGCUGUACUUCCUUCAGAGUAGAUGCAAUGUUAUUGCUUAAAGCAUAGCUCACUUUAAAAUACUAAAGUUAAACAAGGGCAGGUUUCAUGCAUACUCAUUCUUGAGAAUAAAGCCAGUGUAAGAUCAGCGUAAGUGAAUUUUGCCCAAAGUAUACUUCAGACAGGUAUCAAGGUUUGCUUCUUUGUACUUGGUGUCUGAGCUUAUUGAUGUUGGAGUUCUUGACAUAUCCUUUGUUCUAUGAAGCUGUAUAAAAGAAGCCAUAAUUGGUUCUUAGACACCAUGAUAUUUAUAAUCAUUUAGAAACCUCAGAGAGAGCAAUCAUUGAGGGUUUUAUAGAUAGUCAUCAUCUUUAUGAAGUGUAGGAUCUAUUUCUGCGUUGUCUGUAGGACCCUGCUGAGAAUCUCCAUUGUCCUGCUCAUCAAAAAGCUGCAAACUCAGCAUGGGCUCUGCUUCUUUCAAGGAUGUGUGCAUACAUCUCUUAGAAAUAAGCAGUUACGGUUGUUUCAUUAGACCUCUAAUAACAUCUCUACUUCAUUUUCCUUCCAAAUAUGUUUACUUCAGGGUUGACACUUAUAAUGUCAUCUCAAAAGAAAGAGGCUCUCCUGACAGAUUUACAGUUAUUACAAAAUAUGAUGCUAUCUGCAUACAAAUGGACAGUAGGAGCUUUAAAGAGAUUUUCCCUAUUAUUGCUGCCUAAGGAAGCAAUAAAAAUUUAACAUUUACCAUUGGGAAACACCUGCAGAGAUUAAAUUAAAACUAGAUUAUAUGCUUAUCAGUUAAAUGUUACAAAAGCAAACUCUUUAGAGAUUAACAUAAAAAACAUUGCUAUACAAAUCUUAUUAACGGCUUCACUCUUAGUACAAUCCAUUCUACACCUCCGCUGCUCAGGAGUUCUACGUGUGCAACUUAUUAAGUCUUUGUGCAGCUAUACGGUGGGGAGGCAGGGCAGCCUUACUGAGGGCUCUGCUAUCCUGCUGGCAAAUGCCUAUGUUGAUAUUUAGGUUUGUCUUUAAAAGUUGACCUCAAGUACCAUCUGUCCAUCUCUUUCUGAUCCUAGCUAAUUUCUGAAGGACUCUUCACAUUACACUCUCUGUUUCUUGAGCAUGGAACUGAGAUGUGUUCUGGGCUCCUGUGCGGAGUUCUGCUGGGAAUAUUUCUGGAAACCACACAUCUUUGCUGUUGAACUCUUUCUUUGUUAAGGUCAGCAGGACAGAGGACUUUUGAAAGGCUGGAAGCGGAGAACAAGAUACUGUUGUUGCUGAUAGCAGAUAGUCUUUGUGCCACCUUUGGUAUGUCGUGAACAUAUUAUAGAAAAUAGAAAUCUAGGAGGCAUAUGGGCUGGUGUUAUCUGUGAUCUGGAAAUUCAGAAGGCUUCUGGAUUUGGUGUUUGCCAACAAUUUGAGAGGUUUAUGAUGUAGGUAAUCUUCAGACACUGACUUGAAGAGGACACUAUUAGCAUAGAUACUACCUGAACCCGAACUGCAUAGAUGGGGCUUAGAGCUUAUUUCUCCAUCUGGUAUUAUUGCAACUCCUGUAGCUCCAAGGCUUUUUGAAGCAACAUGCCUUUGGAGAAUUCUGAACUACAUAUGGGAAUACACAACUCAGCAAUAGCCACGUCUUCAAUUAUUUACACCAAGGCUUAGGCCAUAAGGAGCUUUGAUUGUGAAGAUCUGACUUGAUUUGAUGGAUCUGGAGAGCAUGACGUUGACAGGAGAUUCAGAUUGUUCAUGACGUGAUUGUAAAAUAAAUCUUGUCAUUUCCCAGGGACAAAUGCAAAGGCCAUGGUUCUGUAAACAUUUCUCUUCUGGACAAAUCUGACCUAGGGACCUCGUGGCCAUUUUUUCCAACCACUUCCCAUAUCCUCCAUUGUGUCAGCACAGACCUUAACAUUUAGUUAAGUGAAUUGGGAGCAUGGAAGGAAUCCAACUUAAAACCUAUCAAUUUAGGUUUAUGAAAAUAUGGAAAAUAGAGCACUGAUCUAUGGAGGUGCAGGAUGCUGAGGUUGAAGAGCAUAGCCAAAGAAUGGGGAGCAGAAAUAGCUGGAACUUGCUUUGCAGGGAAGAAAAAAUGUCUGUGCAAGCUUGGCCUAACAUUUUAAGUAAUAAGUGUUUGUUGGCCCAGAUGAUAUUCACUGAAAGAGGCUAGGGAGUGUUCGAACAAGUAUAUCCAGAUCAGAGGGGUGGUAACCUAUUGCAAAGCAAUGCUCACAAGCCCCUGGGCAGACUGAGGGAGGACUCUUCUGUCAACACAGCUGGGUUUGGGAGGAGAUAUGUGUCCACAGACACAACUCCAUGCACUGUCACAGUGUGCACCAAUCUUGCCUCACACCUCUCUCCAAAAUGUAAGGUACUGUGUCUUCCAGCACUACUGUAGUGUGCAGUUUUGCCCUCCCAUGUGCCUGAAGGGGUGAACUGUACCUUAGCAUUUUUAUAACAGACUUUCUUUUGAGGGUAGGUAAUGGAUGUGUUUGGUAACCAGCAGAAGCCAUAGGUACAUCCGAAUACUGGGUGUGAGUGUGUUCUGUCAUUUUACUUGGACGAAUUACAGUAUUUAACUUGGAAUGGCCCACUCAUGUCUUUUGCUUGACUUUCAGGCUCUGAGCUGUGUGAAUUACUGACAUGGGAAUUUAAGAUGUCAUUUAUCAAAAAUCACAUACGUUUUCGUACGUGCAUACCUGUAUCCAAGGUGGGGAAACUACUUAACUGCAGUCUGAAUUUUCCAGUCAGUAUACAAAGUAAUUCACUUCUACUGCCACUAGAGGUAUAACAUUCACUUGAGCAAAUACCAAAGGAAACAUUUGGUUGGAAGCCUUGCCCAUAUUAAUAUUUCAUUUUUCAAAUAAUGCUUUUGAUCUGGAUUUUUUUGUUUUGUUUUGUUUUGGAGGCCUCAUCCUACUUUGCUUUUUCCUGUUGAGAACUCUUUCUUUUACUGAACUAAAGCUAACUAUUUGUGAGAUGGAAGGCCACUUUGUGAUUAGAGGGUGCAGAACUGAGUGCUUAUUUAAGCUGCAUAAAAAGCUAAAUUAGAAUGUCAGUCACCAUAUUGGUCACCUGUGACUGGCUCACAUGCAAGCUUGUACCAGCACAUUUGUAAAUCUUCUUUCACAUUGCUUGUUGUUCUCCUGGGUACUUAUGUUUAUUCUGAAAUGCAAACAUAAAAGAAUAAGAUUUGAAAUUAAUUUCUUUUGUAUCUAUUAUGACCAGCUUUCGUUUAGAUAGAAUCUCCCUUUUGAAACUCAUUAAAACAUCACGAAAGUCCCAUGUCUCUGCCAGGGCUGGCAGGAGGAUUGUGGCCUACCCUGGGAUUUAAUCACAGCUCUGCAGUAUGCGUACUGCUGGAGUGCAGGGCAGGGGAUGGUUCUGAACCGAGCUGUGGGGGUUUCUGUGAGAAAGCAGUGGUUGACUAAAUGAGGACUAACUGCAGCCCUGCUGGUGCACAGCCUCUAACUGUUUGAAGUUGGUAGCCUUUCUUUCAGAGCUUCCGACACACUCAGCAGCAGCCUGCCAGUGCCGUGCUGCAUGCUCACAGGCUGGAAGCAGUGAGUUGCUGGGGGAACUGCCCGCUGUGCCCCUGCACUGCGCAGGCCCCAGCAGCUCUCCUGCUGCAACCUGGCAUUUCCACAUGCUGCAUUGCACCUCCUCCUCACUUUUGCCCGAUA
ensembl:lncRNA